GGCUCCGGCUUUGCAAAUGCAAUUAAAUAUAGAUUUCUCUGGGGUGAGGCAGGGAAGGGUGUGGGUGUGUUGUAAAUCGUGCAGCAAAGCCGUUUAACUCUGAGGAGUUCAGCAAGCGCUUUCCAGCCCCUACUGUGUGUCCCGGAGUGUGGGCCAAGAACCUCAUGUCUGUAUGCCUGCUGGGGCCUGGGAAGAUCUUAUAACAAGAUACCUGAGAGCUAAACUAGGAGAAAUCCUGAGGACCUGCGGGAGCCAUGGGGCAGGGACAUCGUGGCCCCUCGACUGUGCCUGGUCCCAUCUGGUGUCUUGCUGGCAGCUGGAGCUGGUCUGACCCCUGCGGCCAGCUUCAGCAGGAGUUCACUUUUGCCUGAAGUGACCAAAAUCUUCUGAUGUCGUCAGAGGUAAAGAUCACUUACUAAGGACGACUCUCCGUGUGAUUUCAUGUUAAAGAGAAUCCGCAAACUCCCUUGUCGUUUAGUAUCUGGCCAUGAGAACAUAGGCCAAGUGUCUUCCUGUGGCCUGGCUGGGCCUCUGGCUGGCUCAGCCUCUGGGGAUAAAGAAACGCUCCUUUCUGAGCUUCAGACUCUCAGUCCAACCUGCGAUUGGCUGGGCUAGAUUUGGGGAUGACAAGUCAUUUCAUUGGAGUGGCCGGAGCACAAUGUUAAGGAGGACUCAGAAGUUUGGUGGGAGGAAGUUCUGCGAUCUAUUAGUGAUGUCUGAAGGGCGGGCUAUGGGAGAGAGGUGGAGGGCACGCUUCUUGCUGACUGGGUAGAAUCCUGAAGACCUUCCAGCUCUAUCAUUCUAGAGUUUUCUUUCUUUCUUUAUGUCUAGAGUAAAAAAUGUUCUUACUGUGCAUUUUACACAGACGUUCACAUUGACAUAAUCGCGCAGUCAUGGAGAAUGAUCUUGUUCAGUCCCCGGGCUUCCUCCUUCCUUCCCUCUUCCCUCCUCUCUUCCCUCCCCCGCCCCUCCCCCGC